CAGAUUAGCAAGGCCGCUGCGCGAGGAUGACAUCCGUGAUCGUGAAGCGUUUCUAUUUUUU
rnacentral:snRNA from 1 species